rnacentral:rRNA from 2 species
UGGGGAAUAUUGGACAAUGGGCGGAAGCCUGAUCCAGCAAUGCCGCGUGUGUGAAGAAGGCCUUCGGGUUGUAAAGCACUUUCAGUGGGGAAGAAACUCUGCAGAUUAAUACCCUGUGGAAUUGACAUUACCUACAGAAGAAGCACCGGCUAACUCCGUGCCAGCAGCCGCGGUAAUACGGAGGGUGCGAGCGUUAAUCGGAAUUACUGGGCGUAAAGCGCGCGUAGGCGGUCAGGUCAGUCAGAUGUGAAAGCCCCGGGCUUAACCUGGGAACUGCAUUUGAUACUGCCCGACUAGAGUUUGGUAGAGGAAGGUGGAAUUCCCGGAGUAGCGGUGAAAUGCAUAGAUAUCGGGAGGAACACCAGUGGCGAAGGCGACCUUCUGGACCAAUACUGACGCUGAGGUGCGAAAGCGUGGGGAGCAAACGGG